rnacentral:lncRNA from 1 species
GCCAUUUUUACUUUUUCAUUUUUUUAUUUUUUUAUUUUUUUCAGUUUCAUUUUUUUUGACUCAAAGUGCCAUUUGCAGGUUUUCACCUUUGUCCUUCUUUCUUCUUUAAAUGAAGUGUUUCUUAACUGGAUCCGAGUUUAUAGGAUUGGCAAUCUCACUCAGGAUCAGUGCUCCUCUGAAAAUGAUCUUCUUUACAACAUAGGGACAUUCCUG